rnacentral:rRNA from 1 species
CAGCCGCCGCGGUAAUACGUAGGUGGCAAGCGUUGUCCGGAAUUAUUGGGCGUAAAGGGCUCGCAGGCGGUUUCUUAAGUCUGAUGUGAAAGCCCCCAGCUCAACCGGGGAGGGUCAUUGGAAACUGGGAAACUUGAGUGCAGAAGAGGAGAGUGGAAUUCCACGUGUAGUGGUGAAAUGCGUAGAGAUGUGGAGGAACACCAGUGGCGAAGGCGACUCUCUGGUCUGUAACUGACGCUGAGGAGCGAAAGCGUGGGGAGCGAACAGGAUUAGAUACCCCAGUAGUCCCUGUCUCUUAUAC